GUGCCAGCCGCCGCGGUAAUACCGGCAGCCCGAGUGAUGGCCGAUAUUAUUGGGCCUAAAGCGUUCGUAGCCGGCCAGACAAGUCUGUUGGGAAAUCCACGCGCUCAACGCGUGGGCGUCCAGCGGAAACUGCCUGGCUUGGGGCCGGGGACUCGAGGGGUACGUCCGGGGUAGGAGUGAAAUCCCGAGAUCCUCGACGGACCGCCGGUGGCGAAAGCGCCUCGGGAAGAUGGAUCCGACGGUCAGGGACGAAAGCUUGGGUCUCGAACCGGAUUAGAAACCCUUGUAGUCC
rnacentral:rRNA from 1 species